UACCAGCACCCCGAGUGGUCGGGACGAUUAUUGGGCCUAAAGCAUCCGUAGCCGGUCCUACAAGUCUUCCGUUAAAUCCAGCUGCUCAACAGAUGGGCUGCGGAAGAUACUAUAGGGCUAGGAGGCGGGAGAGGCAAGCGGUACUCAGUGGGUAGGGGUAAAAUCCUCUGAUCCAUUGAAGACCACCAGUGGCGAAGGCGGCUUGCCAGAACGCGCUCGACGGUGAGGGAUGAAAGCUGGGGGGGCAAACCGG
rnacentral:rRNA from 1 species